rnacentral:rRNA from 1 species
GAUGAACGCUAGCGGCAGGCCUAAUACAUGCAAGACGAACGGUAAGUUGAGUAGCAAUACUUAGCCAAGAGUGUCGUACGGGUGCGUAACACGUAUGCAACCUACCCUAUACAGGAGGAUAGCCUAGGGAACCUGGAUUAACCCUUCAUAGUAUUAUUGGAUGGCAUCAUUUGAUAAUUAAAACUGAGGUGGUAUAGGAUGGGCAUGCGUCUGAUUAGUUAGUUGGCGGGGUAAUGGCCCACCAAGACGAUGAUCAGUAGGGGGUUCUGAGAGGAAGAUCCCCCACACUGGCACUGAGAUACGGGCCAGACUCCUACGGGAGGCAGCAGUAGGGAAUAUUGGUCAAUGGAUGCAAGUCUGAACCAGCCAUGCCGCGUGCAGGAAGAAGGGCCCUUUCUGGGGUUGUAAAACUGCUUUUGCCAGGGGAUAAAAUUUCCAUGCGUGGAAAACUGAAGGUACCUGGUGAAUAAGCCACGGCUAACUACGUGCCAGCAGCCGCGGUAAU